rnacentral:ribozyme from 1 species
UGCCCAGCAACUCAUAUCCCUACCUCCUCGCGGUACCGGCCGGAAACUAUGAGCAACCUUAGGGAAGAUCGGGUGUCCAAUCCCGGUGGGAGCUUUGGUCGUAGGCUGAUAGGGAAGG